rnacentral:rRNA from 1 species
UACGUAGGGGGCAAGCGUUGUCCGGAAUCAUUGGGCGUAAAGAGCGUGUAGGCGGUCCGGUAAGUCGGAUGUGAAAUCUCGGGGCUUAAACUCCGAAACUGCAUUCGAUACUACCGUGCUUGAGGACUGGAGAGGAGACUGGAAUUUACGGUGUAGCGGUGAAAUGCGUAGAUAUCGUAAGGAAGACCAGUGGCGAAGGCGGGUCUCUGGACAGUUUCCUGACGCUGAGGCACGAAGGCCAGGGGAGCAAAACGGGG